CAAAUACAGGCGUUGGCAACAAAUACAUUAUCAUGUAAGUGUUAAUUUCAGAAGAUGUAACAUUGUAAAUGUAAAAGUAAAUAAUAAAACUCAUUUCGCAUUAUGUAAAGCAAAUACAUGGUGACAAAGAGAAAUUGGUUGGAAAAUACACAGGGUUAAGUUAUUUAAAUUAGGAAUGGAAAUGCAGGAUUAAGUUAAUGAAAUGAAUGUAAUUAUGUAUCUAAAAUGAAACUAUGUAAAUGAAUUAAAUCAAUCUAAUUAGGAUUAAUUAGGAAUGGAAAUGCAGGA